UACGUAGGGGGCUAGCGUUGUCCGGAUUUAUUGGGCGUAAAGAGCGUGUAGGCGGCCAUGUAGGUCCGCUGUGAAAGUCGGGGGCUCAACCCUCGGAUGCCGGUGGAUACUGUCGGGCUCGAGUCCGGAAGAGGAGUGUGGAAUUCCUGGUGUAGCGGUGAAAUGCGCAGAUAUCAGGAGGAACACCAAUGGCGAAGGCAGCACUCUGGGACGUGACUGACGCUGAGACGCGAAAGCGUGGGGGGCGAACAGG
rnacentral:rRNA from 1 species